UUCUUUAGGUUUCAAUCUGAAGUGAAACUUGAGGAAGAUUCAGAAGCUCUUAAAGGGAUCCAGAUUGAGUGAUUGCACAACAAUAUGAUCUCAAUCAAGUUGUAAAGCAGAUUGUGCGGAUUCUGAUACCCUGACCUAAAGACAAUUCAGUACUUAGUACUUGUCGGGUAUUCAGAUUCCAAUUGGAUAAUUUUGGCUCUGUUACGAGGGACAAGCCAAUUUGGUUGCUUAGGGUUAUUACAAAGGAGAAGGUUAUGAAGAUUAUGGAAACAGAAUCUUCAAGUUUAGGACUCUACAUCUUAGGGGACUCAACGACCUUCAUGAUUGAACUAAAGCACCAUUGACGAGACUCGGGUUAAGGAUAUUACAGUGAGCUAGAAGAUGAAGCUUCAUACAACAUUUCAAGGACUUUGCAAUUGCAGAUCCAAUGGAAUCUGUAUUCUCUUUCUUCACCAGCUCUUAUUGGUUGCUAUCCAACACCUGAUGAUCGUCACAGACAUGGUAUGACU
rnacentral:lncRNA from 1 species